UGAUUAUUUUAAUAGUUUGGGAAUCGUUUGGGCAAGUUUAGGAAUAUAGUUUCAUAGUUUAGGAAAUAAUAGUUUAUUUAUAAUUAAUAAAAAUUAAUUGAAUGUAUAGUUAGCAGACAUAAUUUUAAAAACAAUUUUUUUCUUUUCAAAUCAACGUGAAAUCAUUUGGGAAACACGUCUGUAAUGUUUUAAACAUUUGGGAAAUAAUGAUUUUAUCUGAAAAUCAAGUUACAUGUCACAUGUGCGAUAGCUGGACAGUUUUACCAUGGUUUGUGAGUCAUCCAAUCACAGCUGAGAAUGUGGAAAGUGCUGCUAAAGCAUAAAAGAAACGUUCACUUUCCUAAAAUGGAUUCAUUAUUAGCGCUAAUUGUUGCAUUUUCUUGGUUAUUAUGCUACAUGUAAUGCUGAAAGCAGCAUAUAUGCUCAGCAAAGUCCAACCCCACGUCCGUGCAAAAUAACGUGAGCCACGUGCUGAGCGGGCAACAUCUUAGGUGGCUAACGGGGCAAUGGCAAAUCCUCCUGGAGUAAAAAUGAAAAAUAUCUAAGGGCGAAAUUGGAUAUCGGCUUACUAGCUAUGAUUUUAAGUUCUGUCGAGACUGGAAAUGACACAGAGGCAAUCCGCCCAUUUAUAGAGAAUAUCCAUCAAACUCUGUCCGAAUUUGUUAGUAUUUGUCCCUUUGAAGCAGCUCGGGAUGACGUCUAUUAAGCUGACACAGCCAAUUCAACACAAUCGAUUAAAAUUUAUACAGAAAUUUAGUGCUCUUUUGUUGCUAAUUUGUUGCUCAAUUCCCAAUUUUGUUGCUCCAGCCGUUUCGGAGAAAAUAGUAGCUGUGCUAACUUAUGUUUAAAGUUAGCACAGCCAUUCAAAAAAUUGUGUUAAAUAAAAAAAAAGGACAUAUUCUUU